AGCUUAGAGUAUGGGGCUUGCUGUUUUCGUCGUCGAGAGGCUUUAGAAAGACAUCUCAAAUACUAAUAGCUGUACUGAGCAGACCCUCUCCUGUACUCAGGAUACAAAGUCGAGUGCAAGUUCUGGAUCUGUGAAGGAAAUGGUGUGCUGAGGAAUAGUACUCAAAAUCUGGGGUCAGAUGUACCAGAUAUCAGAACAAAACACAAAGGACCUAAGUUUGGAUGAGGAUGAUUGCUUCUCAGAAGAAAUUCUUAUUGCCCAGGCCUCUCCUCUGAGAAGGAAGUGGCCAGAACUUCAGAAACAAGCUGAUCUCAAAAAGUGGAAAAGGAUGGAAAGAUAUGAAAGCAAAGAUCAGGCUACUCUGUGAAGGGAGAGCUCUUAAAAACAUCCAGUUAGCACCUAUUUACAAGCCUGGAUUAAAACGGAUCAACUAAGUUACCUUUUCA